rnacentral:lncRNA from 1 species
UGAGAAAAAAAAAAUUUGAGAUCUAAAAUUAUAAUUAUAUAUAGAGUUCGGUUACUGUACUACCGAUAGUACCAAGCCCUUGGUACUAUUGAGUUUUCUACCGUUAAAUUUACUCUUUGAUCAUUCCCACCCGUUAGAUUAUACUAUUAAACUAACCACCCACUCAACCCUAGAGGACCACUAUCAUCCUAACCACACAUCCUUUCAUCCAACGGCUGAAAACUCAAUAGUACCAAAGGCUUGAUACUAUUGAUAGUAUAGUAGCAUAUAUAUAUAUAUAUAUAUAUAUAUAUAUGGUGAAGGUUGGAUUAAUCUUAUUACUUUCUAGGGUAAACUUCAAAUACCAUUCUUGUGAUUUCGCAUUUUUUCACUUUAGUAUCAUGUGGUUUAAACUGUAUAAAUUUAGUACCCUGUGGUUUUGUUUUUUUCUUUUCGUCAGUCCCUCCGUUAACUUUUCGUUAAAUCAUAUACAAAAAUUUCAUAUACUCUAUCUAUAAUUUAUCGAAUAUUCACUUUAGUAUGUUUUAGUUUUAACUUUGUCACUAAUUUAACGAAAAAAAUUAAUGAAAGAGAUAACAAAAAGAGAAAAAUAAAAUUAUAGGGUAUAAAAGUGAUACAUUUUAAACUACAGAAUAUUAAAAUGAGAAAGUGUAAAAUCACAUAAGUGGUAUUUAAAGUUUUUUUUUUUUUUUUUU